CCUUCUUUCUGAAUCUGAAUGUCGAUCUGAUCUGGACCUGACCCACCCCCCAGCCCUGAUAUUGUGAGUUCUGAUAUGUGACCUGUGUAACCUGGCAUUGACCCUGGACUCACUCUCAUUCUGAGCGAUACAGACGGGAACUCAACUUGCAGACAUUCCAGUUUCCAGCGGAUGAGAAAUCCUUUAAAAACACACAAGUUGUGGACAUGCUCUCAGUGGUGUUGACACAUACUUGGUUUCCCUCAAGUAAAUUUUUUGGCCUUCGGUUUCCUUGGUGCUUUGAAAUGCCAGACAGUCUUGCUCUGCGACAGCUCUGAAUGAUACACCUUGUCAGAGAGGGAAGUUCAUCAGCAGCCACUGAGAGUGCCAUCGAUUGAGCUGCCCUGAGCCCUGCCAGGUAAUGGAUUGGAUUUAUCCCUCUCUGGAUAAGGCUUGUGCACAGAUGUGUGCACACAUGCACAAAGACAGCCACACAUACAAAUAACAUACUGCUCCUUGUACAUUGCCACAGUCGUGCACCUAGACAACAGCCACAGAUCACAUGUUUGUCUACACAACACACGGCUAACCUGUCUGAGAACUUGUGUGACGUCCUGUGGACAUUGUGACAGUUGGGAUCAAAAGCAGUGAUUUAUUGUCAGCAGCUGCAUGGAUAGGAAAAAACAAGACAAGGAGAUAGUCCUUUUGAUAGAUAUCAGGACAUUUGUCAGGCAUCUGUCUGUGCUUAUUUUAGGACAGAUGAGAAUCAUCAUAUUUUUGAGGAGAAAAUGACUUGGAGCUGAUGGAAGAUGCUUUCCUCAUUGAAGAUUCUCAACAACUAAACUGUUAUUUAUUUAUUUUUUUUUCCUUCUAGCCUUGCAUUAUUAAACAAAUACUACCUAAAUCAUUAUUAUUAAAUCAUUUGAAGAGCAAAUCAAGUCCCACACUAAUGGGAAGGGUAAACAAAGUAAUUAGAUUUUUCAAUAUUUUUUU